rnacentral:rRNA from 1 species
UGCAAGUCGAACGAGAAGAGAUGAGAAGCUUGCUUCUUAUUGAUUCGAGUGGCAAACGGGUGAGUAACGCGUAAGCAACCUGCCCUCUAGAUGGGGACAACAGCUGGAAACGGCUGCUAAUACCGAAUACGUUCUUUCUGUCGCAUGGCAGAAGGAAGAAAGGGAGGCUCUUCGGAGCUUUCGCUGGAGGAGGGGCUUGCGUCUGAUUAGCUAGUUGGAGGGGUAACGGCCCACCAAGGCGACGAUCAGUAGCCGGUCUGAGAGGAUGAACGGCCACAUUGGGACUGAGACACGGCCCAGACUCCUACGGGAGGCAGCAGUGGGGAAUCUUCCGCAAUGGACGAAAGUCUGACGGAGCAACGCCGCGUGAACGAUGACGGCCUUCGGGUUGUAAAGUUCUGUUAUACGGGACGAAUGGUACGACGGCCAAUACCCGUCGUAAGUGACGGUACCGUAAGAGAAAGCCACGGCUAACUACGUGCCAGCAGCCGCGGUAAUACGUAGGUGGCAAGCGUUGUCCGGAAUUAUUGGGCGUAAAGGGCGCGCAGGCGGCGUCGUAAGUCGGUCUUAAAAGUGCGGGGCUUAACCCCGUGAGGGGACCGAAACUGCGAUGCUAGAGUAUCGGAGAGGAAAGCGGAAUUCCUAGUGUAGCGGUGAAAUGCGUAGAUAUUAGGAGGAACACCAGUGGCGAAAGC